GUUUGCGGGUGGCAGAUUAUGUGCCAUAUCUGUAUUCGUAAUACCAACUUGGUUUCAAAGAGAUUCGCAUAUUAUUCAAAGAAGUCGGGUUUGCAUUGGUAAUGGGUAUUUCCACGUAUAGUAUUCUAUCGGAUGUAGAAAGUUUGUUUGCUUCUUUCUUUAGGAACGAUUCGAGCCUGUGUUUGCAACAGAAGAUGGACUCUUAAAUGUUAUUUGCAGCAGAGAGAUGGACUCCUCAAUGUUAUGGAUGAGUAUAUUAAGAGACUAAAGAUCCUGCUUGUAAGAGGGCCCUCUUAUGGUGGUUUCUGUAAUGGAUUUGCCCCUGUUGACGCGAAUGAAGAUGCUUCAGUCAGUUUAGACUCGUGUUAUGUGGGAUGAAAAUGGCACGACACAUUGUGCAUCAGUGUUAGGAGCCUUUGAUUGUGGGGUCAUCAUUCUACGUUUUUCUGCCAGUUUAUAAUGGUUCCGGGUUUUCAACGAUAGUCCUCGUCCGGGGAAGAUUUACUAGACUUGGUGUCG